UCCCUGGUAGUAUAUCGGUUAGUACACGCGCCUGUCAUCCUGGUAGUGACGCGCGAAAGCUGGGUUCGACUCCCAGCCAGGGAG